rnacentral:rRNA from 1 species
UACGAAGGGGGCUAGCGUUGUUCGGAAUUACUGGGCGUAAAGCGCGCGUAGGCGGAUUUGCCAGUCAGGGGUGAAAUGACAGGGCUUAACCUUGGAACUGCCUUUGAUACUGCAAGUCUGGAGUACGGGAGAGGUGAGUGGAAUUCCGAGUGUAGAGGUGAAAUUCGUAGAUAUUCGGAGGAACACCAGAAGCGAAGGCGGCUCACUGGCCCGAUACUGACGCUGAGGCGCGAAAGCGUGGGGAGCAAACAGG